AUUGAACGCUGGCGGCAUGCUUUACACAUGCAAGUCGAACGGUAACAGGCCGCAAGGUGCUGACGAGUGGCGAACGGGUGAGUAAUGCAUCGGAACGUGCCCAGUCGUGGGGGAUAACUACUCGAAAGAGUAGCUAAUACCGCAUACGAUCUAUGGAUGAAAGCGGGGGACCGUAAGGCCUCGCGCGAUUGGAGCGGCCGAUGUCAGAUUAGGUAGUUGGUGGGGUAAAGGCUCACCAAGCCAACGAUCUGUAGCUGGUCUGAGAGGACGAGCAGCCACACUGGGACUGAGACACGGCCCAGACUCCUACGGGAGGCAGCAGUGUGGAAUUUUGGACAAUGGGCGCAAGCCUGAUCCAGCAAUGCCGCGUGCAGGAAGAAGGCCUUCGGGUUGUAAACUGCUUUUGUACGGAACGAAACGGCUCUGGUUAAUACCCGGGGCUAAUGACGGUACCGUAAGAAUAAGCACCGGCUAACUACGUG
rnacentral:rRNA from 1 species